rnacentral:rRNA from 1 species
AACGAACGCUGGCGGCAUGCCUAACACAUGCAAGUCGAACGAGACCUUCGGGUCUAGUGGCGCACGGGUGCGUAACGCGUGGGAACCUGCCCUUAGGUUCGGAAUAACUCCCCGAAAGGGGUGCUAAUACCGGAUAAUGUCUUCGGACCAAAGAUUUAUCGCCUUUGGAUGGGCCCGAGUUGGAUUAGCUAGUUGGUAGGGUAAAAGCCUACCAAGGCGACGAUCCAUAGCUGGUCUGAGAGGAUGAUCAGCCACACUGGGACUGAGACACGGCCCAGACUCCUACGGGAAGCAGCAGUGGGGAAUAUUGGAAAAUGGGCGAAAGCCUGAUCCAGCAAUGCCGCGUGAGUGAUGAAGGCCUUAGGGUUGUAAAGCUCUUUUACCCGGGAUGAUAAUGACAGUACCGGGAGAAUAAGCUCCGGCUAACUCCGUG